UACGUAGGGCGCGAGCGUUGUCCGGAAUUACUGGGCGUAAAGGGCGCGUAGGCGGCCAGCACAAGUCAGUUGUGAAAUCUCCGGGCUUAACUCGGAAAGGUCAACUGAUACUGUGCGGCUAGAGUGCAGAAGGGGCAACUGGAAUUCUCGGUGUAGCGGUGAAAUGCGUAGAUAUCGAGAGGAACACCUGCGGCGAAGGCGGGUUGCUGGGCUGACACUGACGCUGAUGCGCGAAAGCCAGGGGAGCGAACGGG
rnacentral:rRNA from 1 species